CUUUCACAUAUGUUUCCCUUUAGAUAAUAUAAGUAUAACAUUCAAAAGAAAAAAUUGGAAAUUAUAACGCCAAAAGCUCCGUAUCACCGUCGAUCUCAGCACUACUGUCAAAAAAUUGUCAAGCUAAGAUCGCCGUGGGCAGACUGAGACAAUUCUUAGGCACUUGCGAAUCGAACUCGCUCAUGCCAUUCCCAACUCCAUUUCUUUUUCAGAACCUCCUCUUUUUCCCGGUACUCGAUUUCUGGGUACCCUUAUUUGAGCUUUUCUUGGUACUAGUAAGGCACAUGUGUUUCGUUUCAUAGAGCUUGAAACUGAGUCAUGAGCUUCGCCUAUACGACAUUGCCUUUUUCGUUGAGUUUUGGUUGAUAGACCUGUAUUUUGUUCCGGUCGUUGUGGAUAAAAAGGAGAAGAUGAAGGGAGAACCGGCGUGUGAGAGCAGAGGCGGUUCAAGCUACUUUUUGUGAUUUCGUUUGUUUCAACGGCUGGUUUGUUGUCGUUGGUGGUUGUCACUGGUUGGUGGUUGCUUGGCUCCUGUUUCGUCUAUGUCAAUUCUCGCAGUUUGUUAAUUGUCAGAUUAUGUCCUUUUAUUUAUUUUGUUUCUGGGGAUUUAGUCCGCCGGCUUAUGUAAUUUGUUUUGUUUUCUUUUGUUUGGGCUCUUGAUUCCGGAUGGAAGUAGGUCCUUGCCGGCUUGUGUACUGUUUGUAAUUUUGACUCUUUCAUUUAAUCAAAUACUAGAUUUUACUCUGUGCAUUCGCAUGGAAAUUUA